AUACCGCGUGUGUGAAGAAGGCCUUCGGGUCGUAAAGCACUUUAAGCAGGGAGAAAAAGUUAUAGGUUAAUACCCUAUGACCUUGAUGUUACCUGCAGAAUAAGCACCGGCUAAUUCCGUGCCAGCAGCCGCGGUAAUACGGAAGGUGCAAGCGUUAAUCGGAAUUACUGGGCGUAAAGCGCGCGUAGGUGGUUUGUUAAGUUGGAUGUGAAAGCCCUGGGCUCAACCUAGGAACUGCAUCCAAAACUAACUCACUAGAGUACGAUAGAGGGAGGUAGAAUUCAUAGUGUAGCGGUGGAAUGCGUAGAUAUUAUGAAGAAUACCAGUGGCGAAGGCGGCCUCCUGGAUCUGUACUGACACUGAGGUGCGAAAGCGUGGGUAGCGAACAGGAUUAGAUACCCUGGUAGUCCACGCCGUAAACGAUGACAACUAGCUGUUGGGAGACUAUGUCUUUCAGUGGCGCAGCUAACGCUUUAAGUUGUCCGCCUGGGGAGUACGGCCGCAAGGCUAAAACUCAAAUGAAUUGACGGGGACCCGCACAAGCGGUGGAGCAUGUGGUUUAAUUCGAUGCAACGCGAAAAACCUUACCUACUCUUGACAGACUUGGAGGCUCUUGUAAUGAGAGCGUGCCUUUUGGAACCAAGAUACAGGUGCUGCAUGGCUGUCGUCAGCUCGUGUCGUGAGAUGUUCCGUUAAGUCGGAUAACGAGCGCAACCCUUACCCUUAUUUGCCAGCGAUUCGGUCGGGAACUAUAAGGGGACUGCCGGUGAUAAACCGGAGGAAGGUGAGGACGACGUCAAGUCAUCAUGGCCCUUACGAGUAGGGCUACACACGUGCUACAAUGGAGAAUACAGACGGACGCUAAGCCGCGAGGUGGUGCUAAUCCUAGAAAGUUCUUCGUAGUCCGGAUUGGAGUCUGCAACUCGACUCCAUGAAGUCGGAAUCGCUAGUAAUC
rnacentral:rRNA from 1 species